GACGAACGCUGGCGGCGUGCUUAACACAUGCAAGUCGAACGGAAAGGCCCUGCUUUUGUGGGGUGCUCGAGUGGCGAACGGGUGAGUAACACGUGAGUAACCUGCCCUUGACUUUGGGAUAACUUCAGGAAACUGGGGCUAAUACCGGAUAGGAGCUCCUGCUGCAUGGUGGGGGUUGGAAAGUUUCGGCGGUUGGGGAUGGACUCGCGGCUUAUCAGCUUGUUGGUGGGGUAGUGGCUUACCAAGGCUUUGACGGGUAGCCGGCCUGAGAGGGUGACCGGCCACAUUGGGACUGAGGUACGGCCCAGACUCCUACGGGGGGCAGCAGUGGGGAAUAUUGCACAAUGGGCGGAAGCCUGAUGCAGCAACGCCGCGGGCGGGAUGACGGCCUUCGGGUUGAAAACCGCUUUCGCCUGUGACGAAGCGUGAGUGACGGUAAUGGGUAAAGAAGCACCGGCUAACUACGUG
rnacentral:rRNA from 1 species